UGCCUCUUCUCACUUGGUUCCUGGGCUCUGCCUUGUCUGUACCAGUGUCCUGGUGCUGCUGUCAUCUGCUGCCUCUUGUCCUGCUCACUCCUGAGAGGUUCCCAGUGACUUCCUCCUUUCACACUACUUCACUGGAGGCAACACAGGGAAGGGACAGGGAAAGGAAGAGCAAUAGAGAGGACAGAGCCCAGGAAUGCUCAGCAUGGUGCAUGCAAGAGAAGCACGAAGUUGAGAAGGACCAAGACAAGUGACUUUUGAGUGAAUUGGCAUUGAUAUUGCUUGAACAUGAAAAUGACAUUAGAGAAAAUUACUGGAAAGCAAAUUGCAGAUUCUGCAAAACUCAGUAUGCUAAAAAAAUAUGCAUUUUUGCUGAAUAAAAUGAAUUAAAAAGUCAUCUU